rnacentral:lncRNA from 1 species
CUCAAUAUACCCAUAUGCUCAAAAAUGACACUUUAGACAUAAAAGAAAAUUCAAUGAUUUCGGAAAGUACCACCCACCUUGUAUGGUUGUAAAGGUGCUAUGGUUCAAUUCUCGCGAUUUUUAGGCGCCUAUUCCGUAUGCUGCGGCAAUCUGUACCAAAACUUACCUUUUCGUCAAUUUCUUCGCGUACACUCGUCGGAUCACGGAACCGAGUUCAUAUUCUAGUUAGAAAUACCCCCAAUUAGGUUUCUAUAAGGUCAAUUUGCCUUUAAACCACUCUACGG